rnacentral:rRNA from 1 species
UACGGGGGGGCAAGCGUUGUUCGGAAUUACUGGGCGUAAAGGGCUCGUAGGCGGCCAACUAAGUCAGACGUGAAAUCCCUCGGCUUAACCGGGAACUGCGUCUGAUACUGGAUGGCUUGAGUUUGGGAGAGGGAUGCGGAAUUCCAGGUGUAGCGGUGAAAUGCGUAGAUAUCUGGAGGAACACCGGUGGCGAAGGCGGCAGUCCUGGACCAACACUGACGCUGAGUGAGCGAAAGCCAGGGGAGCAAACGGG